GGCACCUGCGAACUAUGAGGGUUUAAAUUUCCAAAUCCAAGCACUGCAGCAAAGUAAAAUUAAUCUUUCUUGGGAUGGAGAUGAACCACAACGUGGGAAGAUUCUGAAACGAAAACUCAAUGAUGAACAGCUGGCUGACUUGGAGUUAAAGGAGUUUCUAGCUUCUGACGAGAGUGAAAGUGAUGAUGACGAGAACGAAGAGACCACCAAGGAUCAAUCUGAUAAGAAAAAUAAGAAAAGAGACUUAUACCGCGCCUUACUUCAGUCUGGUGAUGGAUCCGAUGGAGAUGGUGAGGAGGAUGGCCAAGAAAUCGAAGUCACUUACAAUACUGGCCUGGAGGAUAUAAGUAAGCGUAUCCUGGAGAAGAAAGAUAAGGAAGCAGAAACCGUUUGGGAGGCCUAUCUAAGGAAAAGACGGGAGAAAAAGAAG